rnacentral:rRNA from 1 species
GGUUAAGCGACUAAGCGUACACGGUGGAUGCCACGGCAGUCAGAGGCGAUGAAGGACGUGCUAAUCUGCGAUAAGCGUCGGUGAGGUGAUAUGAACCGUUAUAACCGGCGAUUUCCGAAUGGGGAAACCCAGUGUGUUUCGACACACUAUCAUUAACUGAAUCCAUAGGUUAAUGAGGCGAACCGGGGAACUGAAACAUCUAAGUACCCCGAGGAAAAGAAAUCAACCGAGAUUCCCCAGUAGCGGCGAGCGAACGGGGAGGAGCCCAGAGCCUGAAUCAGUGUGUGUGUUAGUGGAAGCGUCUGGAAAGGCGCGCGAUACAGGGUGACAGCCCCGUACACAAAAAUGCACAUAUUGUGAGCUCGAUGAGUAGGGCGGGACACGUGGUAUCCUGUCUGAAUAUGGGGGGACCAUCCUCCAAGGCUAAAUACUCCUGACUGACCGAUAGUGAACCAGUACCGUGAGGGAAAGGCGAAAAGAACCCCGGCGAGGGGAGUGAAAAAGAACCUGAAACCGUGUACGUACAAGCAGUGGGAGCCUCUUAAUGGGGUGACUGCGUACCUUUUGUAUAAUGGGUCAGCGACUUAUAUUCUGUAGCAAGGUUAACCGAAUAGGGGAGCCGAAGGGAAACCGAGUCUUAACUGGGCGUUAAGUUGCAGGGUAUAGACCCGAAACCCGGUGAUCUAGCCAUGGGCAGGUUGAAGGUUGGGUAACACUAACUGGAGGACCGAACCGACUAAUGUUGAAAAAUUAGCGGAUGACUUGUGGCUGGGGGUGAAAGGCCAAUCAAACCGGGAGAUAGCUGGUUCUCCCCGAAAGCUAUUUAGGUAGCGCCUCGUGAAUUCAUCUCCGGGGUAGAGCACUGUUUCGGCAAGGGGGUCAUCCCGACUUACCAACCCGAUGCAAACUGCGAAUACCGGAGAAUGUUAUCACGGGAGACACACGGCGGGUGCUAACGUCCGUCGUGAAGAGGGAAACAACCCAGACCGCCAGCUAAGGUCCCAAAGUCAUGGUUAAGUGGGAAACGAUGUGGGAAGGCCCAGACAGCCGUGAUGUUGGCUUAGAAGCAGCCAUCAUUUAAAGAAAGCGUAAUAGCUCACUGGUCGAGUCGGCCUGCGCGGAAGAUGUAACGGGGCUAAACCAUGCACCGAAGCUGCGGCAGCGACACUAUGUGUUGUUGGGUAGGGGAGCGUUCUGUAAGCCUGUGAAGGUGUGCUGUGAGGCAUGCUGGAGGUAUCAGAAGUGCGAAUGCUGACAUAAGUAACGAUAAAGCGGGUGAAAAGCCCGCUCGCCGGAAGACCAAGGGUUCCUGUCCAACGUUAAUCGGGGCAGGGUGAGUCGACCCUAAGGCGAGGCCGAAAGGCGUAGUCGAUGGGAAACAGGUUAAUAUUCCUGUACUUGGUGUUACUGCGAAGGGGGACGGAGAAGGCUAUGUUGGCCGGGCGACGGUUGUCCCGGUUUAAGCGUGUAGGCUGGUUUUCCGGGCAAAUCCGGAAAACCAAGGCUGAGGCGUGAUGACGAGGCACUACGGUGCUGAAGCGACAAAUGCCCUGCUUCCGGGAAAAGCCUCUAAGCAUCAGGUAACAUCAAAUCGUACCCCAAACCGACACAGGUGGUCAGGUAGAGAAUACCAAGGCGCUUGAGAGAACUCGGGUGAAGGAACUAGGCAAAAUGGUGCCGUAACUUCGGGAGAAGGCACGCUGAUAUGUAGGUGAAGCGACUUGCUCGUGGAGCUGAAAUCAGUCGAAGAUACCAGCUGGCUGCAACUGUUUAUUAAAAACACAGCACUGUGCAAACACGAAAGUGGACGUAUACGGUGUGACGCCUGCCCGGUGCCGGAAGGUUAAUUGAUGGGGUUAGCGGUAACGCGAAGCUCUUGAUCGAAGCCCCGGUAAACGGCGGCCGUAACUAUAACGGUCCUAAGGUAGCGAAAUUCCUUGUCGGGUAAGUUCCGACCUGCACGAAUGGCGUAAUGAUGGCCGGGCUGUCUCCACCCGAGACUCAGUGAAAUUGAACUCGCUGUGAAGAUGCAGUGUACCCGCGGCAAGACGGAAAGACCCCGUGAACCUUUACUAUAGCUUGACACUGAACAUUGAGCCUUGAUGUGUAGGAUAGGUGGGAGGCUUUGAAGUGUGGACGCCAGUCUGCAUGGAGCCGACCUUGAAAUACCACCCUUUAAUGUUUGAUGUUCUAACGUUGGCCCGUAAUCCGGGUUGCGGACAGUGUCUGGUGGGUAGUUUGACUGGGGCGGUCUCCUCCUAAAGAGUAACGGAGGAGCACGAAGGUUGGCUAAUCCCGGUCGGACAUCAGGAGGUUAGUGCAAUGGCAUAAGCCAGCUUGACUGCGAGCGUGACGGCGCGAGCAGGUGCGAAAGCAGGUCAUAGUGAUCCGGUGGUUCUGAAUGGAAGGGCCAUCGCUCAACGGAUAAAAGGUACUCCGGGGAUAACAGGCUGAUACCGCCCAAGAGUUCAUAUCGACGGCGGUGUUUGGCACCUCGAUGUCGGCUCAUCACAUCCCGGGGCUGAAGUAGGUCCCAAGGGUAUGGCUGUUCGCCAUUUAAAGUGGUACGCGAGCUGGGUUUAGAACGUCGUGAGACAGUUCGGUCCCUAUCUGCCGUGGGCGCUGGAGAACUGAGGGGGCUGCUCCUAGUACGAGAGGACCGGAGUGGACGCAUCACUGGUGUUCGGGUUGUCAUGCCAAUGGCACUGCCCGGUAGCUAAAUGCGGAAGAGAUAAGUGCUGAAAGCAUCUAAGCACGAAACUUGCCCCGAGAUGAGUUCUCCCUGAGACUUAGAGUCUCCUGAAGGAACGUUGAAGACGACGACGUUGAUAGGCCGGGUGUGUAAGCGCAGCGAUGCGUUGAGCUAACCGGUACUAAUGAACCGUGAGGCUUAACCUU